CCAGGGGCCACAUUGGAGGUACAGAAGAAGACCUAACUCAUCUAACCUCGAGGAUCAGCCCUCUGGGAGCCUCCGGAGAAAGAAAAGGACCAAGCAACACAAGGAUCAUUCACCAUGACGAACAAGAAGCUCCGGAUGUUCAAACACCCCCUGGAAGAGGAAGAUGAAAACAACAAACUUGCAGCCCUGACCGACUACUUGUACUUCCUGUACCUUUUCCAUGCUCUCAUUUGUUAUAGAUGUCUGAAACUACUUAAGGAGCUGAGAAACGGGGCAGCCGGUAAUGGGGCAGCUGAACCCCGUGACAAGACCACUGGGCCAGCAAGCCAGAACAACUGAGACGGCAGCUGCUCCCUAAUGAGGCGCGGCACGCAGAGACCCUUGCCGCCUGCCUAGGGGUUGCCUCGCAGGGGCACCCAGGACAUGGGCCUGGAAAUUAACCCUGAAGGAAAGGGAGACUGAAUAAAACCUCUUGUGAACA